rnacentral:rRNA from 1 species
AGUAACGGCGAGUGAAGCGGCAACAGCUCAAAUUUGAAAUCUGGCUCUUUUAGGGUCCGAGUUGUAAUUUGCAGAGGGCGCUUUGGCUUUGGUAGCGGUCCAAGUUCCUUGGAACAGGACGUCACAGAGGGUGAGAAUCCCGUACGUGGUCGCUAGCUAUUGCCGUGUAAAGCCCCUUCGACGAGUCGAGUUGUUUGGGAAUGCAGCUCUAAAUGGGAGGUAAAUUUCUUCUAAAGCUAAAUAUUGGCCAGAGACCGAUAGCGCACAAGUAGAGUGAUCGAAAGAUGAAAAGCACUUUGGAAAGAGAGUCAAACAGCACGUGAAAUUGUUGAAAGGGAAGCGCUUGCAGCCAGACUUGCUUGCAGUUGCUCAUCCGGGCUUUUGCCCGGUGCACUCUUCUGUAGGCAGGCCAGCAUCAGUUUGGGCGGUGGGAUAAAGGUCUCUGACACGUUCCUUCCUUCGGGUUGGCCAUAUAGGGGAGAUGUCAUACCACCAGCCUAGACUGAGGUCCGCGCAUCUGCUAGGAUGCUGGCGUAAUGGCUGUAAGCGGCCCGUCUUGAAACACGGACCAAGGAGUCUAACAUCUAUGCGAGUGUUUGGGUGUCAAGCCCGAGCGCGUAAUGAAAGUGAACGGAGGUGGGAACCCGCAAGGGCGCACCAUCGACCGAUCCUGAAGUUUACGGAAGGAUUUGAGUAAGAGCAUGGCUGUUGGGACCCGAAAGAUGGUGAACUAUGCUUGAAUAGGGUGAAGCCAGAGGAAACUCUGGUGGAGGCUCGCAGCGGUUCUGACGUGCAAAUCGAUCGUCAAA